rnacentral:lncRNA from 10 species
CGCAAGCUGAGGGAGCCGGCUCCAGCCUUGACCAGCCCAGAAAAGGGCUCCCACAGUGCAGCGGCGGGCUGAAGGGCUCCUCAGGCGCCGCCAGAAUGGGCGCCGAGGCUGAGGCACCGAGAGCGAGCGUGGGCUGCGAGGGCUGCCAGUAUGCUGUCACCUCUCAGUAUGAUAGAAAAAACCUGCUGUACUGCCACUGCCCAAUAUAUAAUAUUUCAGGAAACAUUGCUUUAUGAAGGGCUCCAUAACAGUUAAUGAAGGUCCUCAGAGCAAUGUUAAACUGAAGAGAUUAUUGUGAGCAUCCUGUGUCUUGGGGGAACUCUUUCAAUAUUUCACCAUUAAAUAAAAUAUUUACUGAAAAGCUUUAA